AUGUCAAAAAAGUGUAUUCGUAAAAAUAUUUGGAAGAAAAAGACUUAUUUUUCCAUAGUACAAUCUUAUUCUUUAGUAAAAUAAAGAUCAUUUUCGAGUGGUAAUGAGCAUCCAAAACCAAAGGGUUUUUUCUGGGCAACAAACAAAUAA
rnacentral:rRNA from 1 species